GACGAACGCUGGCGGCGUGCUUAACACAUGCAAGUCGAACGCAGUGGCGUACGGGUGAGUAACGCGUAAUCAACCUGCCCUUCAGAGGGGGACAACAGUUGGAAACGACUGCUAAUACCGCAUACUGAAGUAGGGGAUUGCGUCUGAUUGGGUAGUCGGAGGGGUAACGGCCCACCAAGGCGAUGAUCAGUAGCCGGUGCGAGAGGAUGAACGGCCACAUGGGGACUGAGACACGGCCCAGACUCCUACGGGAGGCAGCAGUGGGGAAUCUUCGGCAAUGGACGGAAGUCUGACGGAGCAACGCCGGGUGAGUGAUGACGGCCUUCGGGGUGUAAAGCUCUGUUAAUCGGGACGCGGUACCGGAAUAGAAAGCCACGGCUAACUACGUGCCAGCAGCCGCGGUAAUAC
rnacentral:rRNA from 1 species